GACGAACGCUGGCGGCGUGCUUAACACAUGCAAGUCGAACGGAAAGGCCCUGCUUGCAGGGUACUCGAGUGGCGAACGGGUGAGUAACACGUGGGUGAUCUGCCCUGCACUUCGGGAUAAGCCUGGGAAACUGGGUCUAAUACCGGAUAGGAGCCAUUUUUAGUGUGAUGGUUGGAAAGUUUUUUCGGUGUAGGAUGAGCUCGCGGCCUAUCAGCUUGUUGGUGGGGUAAUGGCCUACCAAGGCGGCGACGGGUAGCCGGCCUGAGAGGGUGGACGGCCACAUUGGGACUGAGAUACGGCCCAGACUCCUACGGGAGGCAGCAGUGGGGAAUAUUGCACAAUGGGCGCAAGCCUGAUGCAGCGACGCCGCGUGGGGGAGGACGGCCUUCGGGUUGUAAACUCCUUUCGCUAGGGACGAAGCUUUUGUGACGGUACCUAGAUAAGAAGCACCGGCUAACUACGU
rnacentral:rRNA from 1 species